GACGAACGCUGGCGGCGUGCUUAACACAUGCAAGUCGAACGGAAAGGCCCCUUUGGGGGUACUCGAGUGGCGAACGGGUGCGUAACACGUGAGUAACCUGCCCUUGACUUCGGGAUAACUUCAGGAAACUGGGGCUAAUACCGGAUAGGAAUCCUUGCUGCAUGGUGGGGGUUGGAAAGCUUCGGCGGUUUUGGAUGGACUCGCGGCUUAUCAGCUUGUUGGUGGGGUAGUGGCUUACCAAGGCUUUGACGGGUAGCCGGCCUGAGAGGGCGACCGGCCACAUUGGGACUGAGGUACGGCCCAGACGCCUACGGGAGGCAGCAGUGGGGAAGAUUGCACAAUGGGCGGAAGCCUGAUGCAGCAACGCCGCGUGCGGGAUGACGGCCUUCGGGUUGUAAACCGCUUUCAGCAGGGGCGAAGCUUGUGGUGACGGUACCUGCAGAAGAAGCACCGGCUAACUACGUG
rnacentral:rRNA from 1 species